UACGGAGGAUCCAAGCGUUAUCCGGAUUUAUUGGGCGUAAAGCGUACGCAGACGGUGAGAAAGGUCGGAUGUGAAAGCCCCGGGCUCAACCCGGGAACUGCAUCCGAAACCAUCUCGCUAGAGUAUGAGAGAGGGAAGCGGAAUUCCUGGUGUAGAGGUGAAAUUCGUAGAUAUCAGGAGGAACAUCUGCGGCGAAGGCGGCUUCCUGGCUCAUUACUGACGUUCAGGUACGAAAGCGUGGGUAGCAAACAGG
rnacentral:rRNA from 1 species